rnacentral:rRNA from 1 species
UACGUAGGGUGCGAGCGUUAAUCGGAUUUACUGGGCGUAAAGCGUGCGCAGGCGGUUCUGUAAGACCGGUGUGAAAUCCCCGGGCUCAACCUGAGAAUUGCGCUGGUGACUGCAGGGCUAGAGUACGGUAGAGGGGGGUGGAAUUCCUGGUGUAGCAGUGAAAUGCGUAGAGAUCAGGAGGAACACCGAUGGCGAAGGCAGCCCCCUGGGCCUGUACUGACGCUCAUGCACGAAAGCGUGGGGAGCAAACAGG